rnacentral:rRNA from 1 species
CACGUAGGUGACCAGCGUUGUCCGGAUUUACUGGGCGUAAAGAGCGCGCAGGCGGUCGUUCAAGUCGCGUGUGAAAGCCCCCGGCUCAACUGGGGAGGGUCACGCGAUACUGAUCGACUCGAAGGCAGGAGAGGGAAGUGGAAUUCCCGGUGUAGUGGUGAAAUGCGUAGAUAUCGGGAGGAACACCAGUGGCGAAGGCGACUUCCUGGCCUGUUCUUGACGCUGAGGCGCGAAAGCUAGGGGAGCAAACGGG